AUUUUUUACUAAUAUUUGAUUAAAAUAUUUUUUGUUAUUUUAAACAUUUUUAAAUUAGUAUGUCUCAACCUGAAUCAAAAAUUCGUCGUGUCCAGUUUGAUGUGGAGGAAACCCCAUCGGUCUCUAAUUCAACUGAACGACAAAUGGCAGAGUUUAAAGGGAGAUCUCUAUUGUGACUCAGAAGUUGGACAUUUUGGUGGAAAAACUGGCGGAAAACACCGCACUUUUAAAAGUAUCAUUUGAUCCUGAGAAAGAGAUUUCGGGCGCGGUACCAUUUCCGCUAAAAACAGAAGAGGAACUUGACGAGUUCGAAAAUUCCUUGACCCCGGAGCAUAUCGGUUUUUACGCAAGUAUCGAGCAAGGCCGACUUGUUUUUGCAUUUUUAUGUUUCUUUUUUAUAUCUAUUUGCAGACAAAGAAAAUAUCAAAAAUAAUUGGGAGCGAACCGCUGUCAAAGCGGUUCAAACUUAUUAUAGCAGAAGAUAUUAUCAAUGACUACAAUUUGGACGGGUCCAACGGGAAAAAGUCCCUCAGAUGCCGUAUAGGGUUAUACGGAGUUCUUAAAGGAGCGUUGGCCAAGGACUCCGAGGACCCGGACAAAUCUUUAAGAAAGGCAAUGACUAAUGUUAAAAAUAAACUUACCAAGGAAAAACACAGAAAUAAUAACUGUACAAUUUUUGAAAAUC